UCUGGUUUCCUCUCACGCGCUCUGGUUAUUAAUUUAUGCUAUUCCGAAAAUACCCUAAUCGCCUCACUACUUUUACCGUUCCAUCCCUUUUUCUCCUAAAACCCGCCAUUUAUAUAUAAACCGUCUUCUCUGUUUACUUGACAGCCAAUACUUUUCGCUUUCAUGUACACAACCCCUUAAAUUCACCUAAUCUCUUGACGUCAUCCCGCCAAUGAUGAUGGAGGAGUUGGCCGCCGCAGCCAAGGCCAAGGAAGCGUCGUUUCCGGUGGUGUUCUUUGAUGGCGAACAGGAGACCAGCCUCGGCAACGUCGUCGUUUCCCCUUUUUUGAAUUUCAAACUUUUCCAAUCCAUUAUCAGCGAGAAACUUGUUUUGUCUCCCCACCAGUUCUCUAUUUAUCUCACGGAUACGAGGCGUGGCUCAAGAAUCCCCGUCACCAGAAAGAUCAAUUUCUCAGCGGUUUCUUGCGAGAAGGAUUGCUUCUUUGUCGUUGUUCUCAAUCGAUCGAAGCGCGAGCGGAGGAGGAAGAGUCGCGAGAUGGCCGAAAAUAUGCAGAACCGGUUCGAUCCACCUGCAACUGUGAUGCUUUUGAGGCGAGACGGUAACACUAUUGCAAUCAACAGUACUGGGUUCUCUAACCUCGAUUUGGGCCUAGCCAGGUACGAAAGACGGGUCAGUGAGCUGCAGAUGGAGAAAGACAGGUACUUGAUGAAAAUGGGUUUGGGGUUCGAAGGGCUGAACUUGGGGGCAGAGAGAACGAAUAAAACAGUUGUUUGCGAGGAAUGCUCUAGGGCUAAAGAGAUGGGCAGAGAUGUUGGGUUCCAUUGGUGUGUCUACGACACAGUUACUUUCAGGUUCAGGUCACCGGCGGGUCCUAUUGCCCGGCCCGUUAAAGGAUCAAGUUAAUGAUGAUACAUGAUAGCGCGGCGCCGACAUUUGUUUUGAUUGAGAAGUUGUCAUGCAUAGCAGGAAGAAGACAAGAGGGGUAUGGGAUGGUAAUGGGUAAGUAAUGGUAUACCUUAUUAUACGGUAUAUGACUG
rnacentral:misc_RNA from 1 species